UGACACCCCAGCUGCUCUGGCAAGGAUGGGCAGUGAUAAGAGGAGCCCCGAGCAGGGAGGCUGGGGCCUGCAGUUUCACGCAGCUGUGAAGUGCACCGGAUGGAGUCUGUAAAGUGCUGUGUGAAGCUUGCUGCAGCUGAGUCCCAUGGGCGGAGGAAUGGGAGACGUGCCGCAGAUGAGGCAGAGCCAGCCUCCCCAGCUCCUGUCUUGUUGCUGCCCUUUCCCAGUGGAAGGCUGGAAUUACAGACCAUUAAAGCUGGGAGGGGGCCUUGGACCUCACCAGGCCAGCCUCUCCAUCCUACAGACAAGAAACCGCAGUCUGACCUAGGGGACAAAUGGCCCUGGCACCGAGACUCUUCCAGGCCCCACCCAGGCGCUGUCGCUGGGCCCUGCCUCUCGUUGCAGCUGGCUUGCCUGAGUUAUUUUCUGUUCCAUCUGUAAUGAUCCUAUUGUCACAAUGGGUCUCUCCCAGUAAGAGUGCACUCCACGCAUCCCCUGAGGUCACCUAUGUUCUCUGCACACAGAGUGCUUACUAAAUGAGUCUUGAUGGACAGGCGCUGCAGCCUGCAGAGACCUCAUCUGAUGUCUCGGCCAGGCCAAUCUGCCCUUUCCAGAUGACCUUCUCUCCCAUCCCUUAAAAGUGUCCUGUGAUGCUCCCCAGAUGUUCUGCAGAAGCAUCCAGGAGAACCGAGCCCCCAGGGCAGAGCGGCAAUAUGCAGGCGCCAGGCCUUGCAAGCCCAGCAUCUUGGAACUCUCUUUGCACAGAGUUACCUUGAGCCAAAUACAAGUUUCUAGAAUCUGGACACACGACACAGUCUCGGCAAAGCUGAUUACAGAGGAGUGUCAGCGAAGUUCUUGGAAAAAAUAUUUUCAGGAAAAGAGUGUUUGGCAGCUUCCCUGAGGGGUAAACAAGCCAACAGAAAUUAAUCAGGAGAAUCCAGGGGCAUGUACCAGUAAAGCAGGGGCAGCUCAUCCCAAAGCAUUUGCCUCUUUUGUGUCUUCCUAAUACACUAGCCAGGAGGGAGGAAGACCUGCAUGCGGACUAACAGAAACCAUUUUGGAAGACAAUGUACAUGCAGUUUAACCUCUUUAAAGUGACCUUGUUAGACAAUUUGGCCACUAACAUCUCCCAUGGAAUUGUGAGAUAUGAAAAAAGCACCAGAUGCGGCUGUUUGGCAGAGUCCUGUCCUGGCUAUGGGACUCGUUCUGAACUGAAAGCUUCUAGUUGGCCUUUUCUCAGUACUGGCUGGAUGAGGCCUGGAGUCAGGAGUCAAAAGCCCAGGUCUAAACAAGAUUUGUCUACCUCUCUGUCACCUAAGCAGGACAUGUGGUGAGUGGUUCAUCUGUGGGUGCCCUCCUUCCUCACCUGUGGAAUAGGAUUUGCCCUGCCUGUCUCACAGGCCUGCUGUGAAGGCUGAACGAGGAGCACACGUUCAUCAAGGGUGAAGCAUGGUCAAAUGUCAGGCAAUACGAUUCUACUGAACUGCACUGCUGAUUGAAAAAAGCAAUGCUCUCCUUCCGUGAAAAAUGACUAAACUCUCUUUAUCAGGUGCGCUCAUUAAGACAAACAUACACACCCCUUGACACCCCCUUACUAGCCCCCAACACACAGAAACCACACCAGAUAUUUUCAGCAAGAACUUAACAUAGGAAAUUGGGUGGCUACAAAACUCUUGCAAGGGCUAAGCGUUCAUGGCUGGUCAGCCAGGAGCAACUUCUAGAACGCGGCAGAAAUGACAAAAGAGAGGAGCUUGGGCCCCUGAGGUGCCCCUUGGAGCUCUGCUGCCUGCACCACAAUGAACUCUGGGAGACCAGGACCCAGGACGCUGGAUCGAGAACGCUGCAAGUGCCACUUGGCAAACACACAGCAAACAAAUGCAAUCUAAUCUCUACUACAUCGCUCCUGUUAAACAGCCAAAAUGAAGCAGAAAAAUAGCUCCACCUCACUUCUCUCCUACAAA
rnacentral:lncRNA from 10 species